UACGGAGGGUGCAAGCGUUAUCCGGAUUUACUGGGUUUAAAGGGUGUGUAGGCGGGCUAUUAAGUCAGCGGUGAAAUCUCGGGGCUCAACCCCGAAACUGCCAUUGAUACUAUUAGUCUUGAAUACUGUGGAGGUAUGCGGAAUGUGUCAUGUAGCGGUGAAAUGCUUAGAGAUGACACAGAACACCGAUUGCGAAGGCAGCGUACUACACAGUGAUUGACGCUGAGGCACGAAAGCGUGGGGAGCAAACAGG
rnacentral:rRNA from 1 species